rnacentral:rRNA from 1 species
UGUGUAGGUGGCAAGAUAAGUUAGGUGUGAAAUCCUCGGGCUUAACCUGAGAAUUGCGCUUAAUACUGUCUAGCUAGAGUACUGCAGAGGGUAGUGGAAUUUCCAGUGUAGCGGUGAAAUGCGUAGAUAUUGGAAGGAACAUCAGUGGCGAAGGCGACUACCUGGAUAGAUACUGACACUGAGACACGAAAGCGUGGGUAGCAAACA